rnacentral:lncRNA from 1 species
AGUAACUGAAAGAUGGGUUGAAUGGAAUGAGGGGAUAAAUUGUUAGGUUGUGUAUUGGGAUGUUUACCUUGUAGGUGUCCCACGGGAUCACCAAUUUAUUUUGCACCUUCGGGAGCAUUUGACUGAUAUGUGUUUCUGCAGAACACUAGACUGAUAUGAACGUCCCUCGGGGCGUUAGACUGAUAUGUACGUCCCUCGGGGCGUUAGACUGAUAUGUACGUCCCUCGGGGCGUUAGACUGAUAUGUACGUCCUUCGGGGCGUUAGACUGAAAUGUGUAUCCUACGCGAUCACAAGACUGCGACUGUACAGGGUGUCCCAAUAGAACUUUAACAAUUUAUUUUUCCCUGACGGAGACCAGUAAGGGUCUCUUACUGAGUAUUGUUAUACUCACCCUUCUUAUGUUUAAUUUUCAGGCAAAGGAAAUAAAGGUGGCAAACCGGCGAGGGGGAGGAAGGAAGCGUGAUUGCCAUAGGAAAUGUGUCAUUUUGCUUCCGCUUAUGGUUUCUUUUAAGGUUUAAGAUGUACUAAAACUUAGUUUACAAACUUUUAUUUGUAAAUAGUGUUAUUUUUAAGUUUUCUUGAAUAUUUGAAAAUCAGGCCUGACAUAGAUUGUUUUUAAAUUGACUUACGCUUCAUUUUGUAUCAACUAAAGUCUUUUAUUAAAAAUUAAUGACCUCGACUUACCUAGAAAAGUUGGGUCGUUACAGUUGGUAUCAGAGCCUAAGUUUUAGGUUCUGUAGACUGACUUACGAUGUAAGUCUAUGUUUUUGUGUUCCUAUGGCUAACGCGACCCUUCGUCUCUCGUCAGGUAUGCUUGAUGCUUAUAUGUAUGGUUUAUUUGCAUGACCUUGCCUAAAUUAAACUAGAUUGCAUGACGAUAAAGACUUGCUUAUGUUUAUGAUUAAGAUUUUGUUAAAGAGUGUUGUUGGUGGUAAUAGGAAUUAUGCCGCCAAGGGAAGAAGUACGUAGAGGAGGUCGUAGAGAGCAGGAGGCCGAGGUAGAGGAGCAGGUCGUAAUCAGCCUACUGAGGGUCAAGCUGAACAGCGAAUUCCUGCUGCACCCGUGACUCACGUUGAGUUUGAUGCACUGUCUGCUCACAUGGAGCAGAGGUUUACAGAACUUAUGACAGCUAUAGCUCAAAACCAGCAGGCACCUGCGGUUCCACCUGCACCUGUAGUUCCCCUGCACCAGCAGCCCCUCCUGCACAAGAAUUACCUAACCAACUUUCUGCUGAGGCGAAACAUUUGAGGGACUUUCGGAAGUAUGACCCUCAGACGUUUGAUGGGUCACUGGAGGAUCCUACUAAAGCUGAAAUGUGGUUGUCCUCUGUGGAAACCAUAUUUAAUUACAUGAGAUGUCCGAGGAGCACAGAGUUCAGUGUGCUGCUUUUCUACUGAGGGACAGAGGCAUUAUCUGGUGGAGGACUACAAUGCGCAUGCUAGGUGGAGAUGUGAGGCAAAUUACCUGGGAUCAGUUUAAGAACUGCUUCUAUACCAAGUUUUUCUCGGCUAACCUUAGAGACGCCAAAAGCCAGGAAUUCUUGGAGUUGAAGCAAGGAUAUAUGACAGUCGAGGAGUACGACCAGGAGUUUGAUAUGCUGUCACGUUUUGCCCCUGAGCUUGUUAGUAAUGAGCAGGCUAGAGCUGAUAGGUUCGUCAAGGGAUUGAGAGAUGAAAUUAGGGGUUUUGUGCGAGCACUAAAGCCCACUACCCAAGCUGAAGCACUGCGUCUGGCAGUGGAUAUGAGUAUUGGGAAGGAUGAAAGACAGCCAAGGAGCUUUAAUAAGGGAUCGUCGUCGAGUCAAAAGAGAAAAGUAGAGCAGAGAACUGUAGGAGUUCCUCAGAGGAACUUGAGACCAGGUGAUCCUUUUCGCAGUUUCCAGCAGAGUUCUGGCGGUGCAGGAGACACUACUCAAGAGAGGCCAGUAUGUAAUACGUGUGGGAAACGCCACCUGGGUCGUUGUUUGAUGGGAACGAGAGUCUGUUAUAAGUGCAAGCAAGAGGGACACAUGGCUGAUAGGUGUCCCUUGAGAUCUACUGGGGCUGGAUCGAGCAGUCAGGGAGAGAGACCUCCACAGCGGGGUACAAUCUUUGCCACUAAUAGAUCAGAGGCAGAGAAGGCCGGCACAGUAGUGACAGGUACAUUACCAGUAUUAGGGCAUUUUGCCUUGACCUUGUUUGACUCGGGAUCUUCUCAUUCAUUUAUUUCAUCGCUUUUUGUGACGCAUGCAUGCUUAGAGGUGGAACCCUUAGACUAUGUUUUGUCAGUGUCUACACCGUCUGGAGAAAUUAUGUUGUCUAAGGAAAAGAUUAAAGCAUGUGAAAUUGAGAUAGCUGGUCGUGUGCUGGACGUAACCUUGUUGGUAUUAGAUAUGCGUGACUUUGAUGUAAUUUUAGGUAUGGAUUGGCUAGCUACUAAUCAUGCUAGUAUUGAUUGUUCUCGUAAGGAAGUUGUGUUUAGUCCCCCUACUGCAUCUAGCUUUAAAUUCAAGGGAGUAGGAACAGUAGUACUGCCUAAAGUAAUCUCAGCUAUGAAAGCUAGUAAACUACUCAGCCAGGGUACUUGGAGUAUUUUGGCAAGUGUGGUGGAUACUAGGGAAGGUGAGACUUCUUUAACUUCAGAACCUGUGGUAAGAGAAUACCCAGAUGUAUUUCCAAAAGAUCUUCCAGGACUGCGCCACAUAGAGAGUUGAUUUUGCCAUUGAGUUGGAGCCAAACACUACUCCUAUUUCUAGAGCCCCUUAUAGGAUGGCUCCUGCUGAGUUGAAAGAACUGAAGGUACAGUUACAGGAAUUGCUUGACAAAGGCUUUAUUCGACCUAGUGUGUCACCUUGGGGUGCACCAGUAUUGUUUGUGAAGAAGAAGGAUGGGUCGAUGCGUCUUUGCAUUGACUAUAGAGAGUUGAAUAAAGUAACAGUCAAGAACAGGUAUCCUUUACCCAGAAUCGAUGAUUUGUUCGAUCAGUUACAGGGAGCCACGGUGUUCUCUAAGAUUGACUUACGGUCAGGUUAUCACCAGUUGAGGAUUAGAGACCGUGAUAUUCCUAAGACUGCUUUUCGUUCGAGGUAUGGACAUUAUGAAUUCAUAGUAAUGUCUUUUGGUUUGACUAAUGCACCUGCUGUAUUUAUGGAUUUGAUGAACAGGGUGUUUAAGGAUUUCUUGGACACUUUUGUGAUAGUCUUCAUUGAUGAUAUUUUGGUUUAUUCCAAGACUGAAGCCGAACAUGAGGAACACUUACAUAAGGUGUUAGAGACUCUUCGAGUCAAUAAACUGUAUGCUAAGUUUCUAAGUGCGAAUUUUGGUUGAAGCAGGUGGCUUUUCUUGGUCAUGUGGUUUCCAGUGAGGGAGUUUCUGUAGACCCUGCAAAGAUAGAAGCGGUUACCAGUUGGCCUCGACCCUCUACAGUUAGUGAGGUUCGUAGUUUUCUGGGUUUAGCAGGGUAUUACCGGAGGUUUGUGGAGGAUUUUUCACGUUUGGCUACUCCUUUGACUCAGUUGACAAGGAAGGGAACUCCGUUUGUUUGGAGUCCAGCUUGUGAGGAUAGUUUUCAGAACUUAAAGCAAAGGUUAGUUACUGCACCGGUCCUUACUGUACCAGAUGGAUCUGGAAGUUUUGUGAUUUACAGUGAUGCUUCCAAGAAAGGACUGGGUUGUGUUUUGAUGCAGAAAGGUAAGGUGGUUGCUUAUGCCUCUCGUCAGUUGAAGAGUCACGAGCAGAACUACCCCACACAUGAUUUGGAGUUGGCAGCAGUGGUUUUUGCAUUGAAGAUAUGGAGACAUUACUUGUACGGUGAAAAGAUACAAAUCUUUACUGACCAUAAGAGCCUAAAGUACUUCUUCACUCAGAAGGAGUUGAAUAUGAGACAGCGAAGGUGGCUCGAGUUGGUAAAAGAUUAUGACUGUGAGAUAUUAUACCAUCCUGGUAAGGCGAAUGUGGUGGCUGAUGCUCUUAGUAGAAAAGUAUCACAUUCGGCAGCACUCAUUACUAGACAGGUACCAUUGCAUCGAGACUUGGAGAGAGCUGAGAUUGCAGUGUCUGUGGGGAGAGUCACCUCACAGCUAGCUCAAUUAACGGUGCAACCGACUCUGAGGCACAAGAUUGUUGAUGCUCAGAGUAAUGAUCCUUAUUUGAUGGAGAGACGUCGCCUUGUUGAAACAGGGCAGACUGAUGAGUUCUCCAUAUCCUCUGAUGGUGGGUUGAUGUUUGAGAGACGUUUAUGUGUGCCAGCGAACAGUACAGUUAAGAUUGACUUACUAGAUGAAGCCCAUAAUUCCCCAUUUUCCAUGCAUCCUGGUAGCACGAAAAUGUAUCAGGAUCUAAAACGAUUUUAUUGGUGGCGGAAUAUGAAAAGGGAAGUGGCAGAAUUUGUUAGUAAGUGUCUAGUAUGUCAGCAAGUUAAGGCACCUAGACAGAAACCAGCAGGUUUAUUACAACCCUUAAGUGUGCCAGAGUGGAAGUGGGAGAAUGUGUCGAUGGAUUUUAUUUCAGGGCUGCCUAAGACCCUGAAGGGUUUCACAGUGAUUCUGGUUGUCAUAGACAGGCUUACGAAAUCGGCACAUUUUGUACCAGGAAAAUCCACUUAUACUGCUAGUAAGUGGGCAGAGUUGUAUUUAACUGAGAUUGUGAGACUGCAUGGAGUGCCUGUAUCGAUUGUUUCUGAUAGGGAUGCACGGUUUACUUCCAAGUUUUGGAAGGGACUUCAGACUGCUAUGGGUACGAGAUUGGAUUUCAGUACAGCCUUUCAUCCACAGACUGAUGGUCAAACUGAACGUUUGAACCAAGUUUUAGAGGAUAUGCUACGAGCUUGUGUUAUAGAGUUUCCAGGUAGUUGGGACUCUCAUCUACAUUUGAUGGAGUUUGCUUAUAACAACAGUUUCCAGGCUACCAUCGGUAUGGCACCAUUUGAGGCUUUGUAUGGCAAAUGUUGUAGAACCCCUGUUUGUUGGAGUGAGGUUGGUGAACAUAGAUUGAUGGGACCUGAAUUAGUUCGGUCUACUAAUGAGGCUAUUCAAACGAUUAGGACGCGUAUGCAAACAGCGCAGAGUAGACAGAAGAGUUAUGCAGAUGUACGGCGAAAAGACCUUAAGUUCGAUGUGGGAGAAAAGGUAUUCUUGAAGGUAGCACCUAUGAAGGGUGUUAUGCGUUUUGAGAAGAAAGGAAAGUUAAGUCCUCGUUUUGUUGGACCAUUUGAGGUCUUAGAGAGGGUUGGCGUUGUGGCGUAUCGCUUGGCGUUACCACCAUCACUCUCUGCAGUUCAUAAUGUUUUCCAUGUUUCGAUGUUGAGGAAGUAUGUGGCCGAUACAUCUCAUGUAGUGGACUAUGAAACCUUGGAGAUUGACGAGCAUUUGAGCUAUGUUGAACAACCUGUGGAGAUUUUGGCUAGAGAGGUAAAGAUGCUUCGUAAUAGAAGCAUUCCAUUAGUAAAGGUUUUGUGGCGGAAUCAUCGAAUUGAAGAGGCGACAUGGGAGCGAGAGGAAGAAAUGAGGACUCGUUAUCCAGAGUUAUUUCAGGAUUAGAACUUUCGAGGACGAAAGUUUCUUAAGGAGGGAAGAAUGUAAUGCCCAAAGAAAAGGUAAAUAUAUAUAUAUAUAUAUAUAUAUAUAUAUAUUUUAUUUUUACUUUAAUAUUAAAAAUUUCUUUAUUAUUUUUCUUUUCUUCUUUUCCUUUUCUUUUCUUUUCUCCCUUCUUCUUCCCCGUGCGAUCGUGACUCCCAUCCAUCUUCUCCUUCUUUCCGCCGAUCUCUUCCUUCCAUUUUCUCCUUCCGCCGCAGCCCAGCAACCGCCGUAGCCCAGCAACCGCCACCCGAGACUUCUCUUCUUCCGUUUCUCUUUCUUUUUCACCAUACCCAGCCGCGAAGCAAGACCGUGCCGCUGCCAGUCCAGAUUUGCGUUGCAGUCGUCCCGCGCGCCGAAUUGCCGUCUCCAUCUCCGUUCGCGAAGCAAAACCGCCGCCGCUCGCCGAACCCAACCGCCACCCUCUCUUUUCUUCUUCAGAUCUAAACCGUCGCGCCCAUCCGCCUGUAACCGUCGUGCCUCUUCGCUCACAACCGUCGUGCCUCCCUCGCAAAGCAAAUCGUCGUCCAGAUCUGCCUCGCCGUGAACCAUUGGGCUCAUAUUUGGGUAAGAACAAGUUAUGGUUUUUGUUGGUUUCUUGGUUUUUGUUGGAUGCUGCCAUUGGAUUUAAUUGUUGGCGAAAUGCUUAAUUCUUGAAGGUACAUCUUGAUUCAGUGAGCGAAUCCUUGAUUUUCCAAAAGGUUGAAGUGGACUUGAUUUCUCCACUUCUUGGGUAAGUUGUGGAAUUUACAUAUGGGGUAAUUUGAAUGGUUGAAACUAUUUAGAAAGAUGUUGAUUUUAUGAUUGAUUAUGUUUAGGAUUUGAUUCAUUGGAUUUAGUAGAUUGAAGAACUUGCAUAAAAGUGAGGUAAGGGAUUUUCUACUGGACUUACCUAAAGUUUUUGAGUUGUGUUGGACUGUAUGGAUGAUGAUUAAGAUGUACAUGUUUGAUUGCAGACUAAAUGUUUAGUGUAUGUUGUAUUUGACUGGAAACAUAUAUAUAUACAUUGAUGUGUGAAUUGAUGUGGAUUGCCGAAAGUAUACAUGUGAAUGACUGAAAUUAUGCUUCUGUGUACAUGAUGAUAUUAAUAGAUUGUGCUGUAUAAAGAUUGGAUGUGAACUAGUGAAUUUGUUUCAGUUGGAUGUGGAUUAUACUGAACUGUGGUUUGUGCUGGUGAACUGAGGGGUGUAUUGACUUGACUGUAUAGUGAAUUGACUGAUGUAUUAGCAUAUUAUUGACAGACAUAUGACUGUAGUAAAAUAAGUUGACUGUUAGGAUGUUGAAAGAAAGGACUUUGUGAUUUGAAGUAACUGAAAGAUGGGUUGAAUGGAAUGAGGGGAUAAAUUGUUAGGUUGUAUUGGGAUGUUUACCUUGUAGGUGUCCCACGGGAUCACCAAUUUAUUUUGCACCUUCGGGAGUAUUUGACUGAUAUGUGUUUCUGCAGAACACUUGACUGAUAUGUACGUCCCUCGGGGCGUUAGACUGAUAUGUACGUCCCUCGGGGCGUUAGACUGAUAUGUACGUCCCUCGGGGCGUCAGACUGAUAUGUACGUCCUUCGGGGCGUUAGACUGAAAUGUGUAUCCUACGGGAUCACAAGACUGCGACUGUACAGGGUGUCCCAAUAGAACUUUAACAAUUUAUUUUCCCCUGACGAGACCAGUAUAGGGUCUCUUACUGAGUAUUUAAAAUACUCACCCUUCUUAUGUUUAAUUUUCAGGCAAAGGAAAUAAAGGUGGCAAACCGGCGAGGGGCAGGAAGGAAGCGUGAUUGCCAUAGGAAAUGUGUCAUUUUGCUUCCGCUUAUGGUUUCUUUUAAGGUUUAAGAUGUACUAAAACUUAGUUUACAAACUUUUAUUUGUAAAUAGUGUUAUUUUUAAGUUUUCUUGAAUAUUUGAAAAUCAGGCCUGACA